rnacentral:rRNA from 1 species
GACGGAGGAUGCAAGCGUUAUCCGGAAUGAUUGGGCGUAAAGCGUCCGCAGGUGGCAGUUCAAGUCUGCUGUCAAAGACCGGGGCUUAACUUCGGAAAGGCAGUGGAAACUGAAUAGCUAGAGUAUGGUAGGGGCAGAGGGAAUUCCUGGUGUAGCGGUGAAAUGCGUAGAGAUCAGGAAGAACAUCGGUGGCGAAGGCGCUCUGCUGGACCAUAACUGACACUCAGGGACGAAAGCUAGGGGAGCGAAUGGG